GAUGAAGAACGUAGCGAAAUGCGAUACUUGGUGUGAAUUGCAGAAUCCCGUGAACCAUCGAGUCUUUGAACGCAAGUUGCGCCCGAAGCCAUCAGGUUGAGGGCACGUCUGCCUGGGCGUCACAUAUCGUUGCCCAAUGCCUAUUGCAGUGCAAUAGGAAUUUCUAGGGCGAAUGAUGGCUUCCCGUGAGCGUUGUUGCCUCGCGGUUGGUUGAAAAUCGAGUCCUUGGUAGGGUGUGCCAUGGUAGAUGGUGGUCGAGUUAGAACGAUACCGAUCAUGUGCAUGCUCCCCAAAAUAUGGCCUCUAUGACCCACACGCGUCUUUUGACGCUCAUGACGAGACCUCAGGUCAGGCGGGGCUACCCGCUGAAUUUAAGCAUAUCGAUAAGCGGAGGA
rnacentral:misc_RNA from 1 species